rnacentral:tRNA from 2 species
GCCGAGAUAGCUCAGUUGGUAGAGCACAUUCUUGGUAAGAAUGAGGUCGCCGGUUCAAUCCCGGCUCUCGGCUCCG